rnacentral:misc_RNA from 1 species
CAACCCUCAAGCUCUGCUUGGUACUGGGCCGCACCGUCUGGUGGGCCCCAAAGUCAGUGGCGGUGCCGGUCGGCUCCAAGCGUAGUAGCACUCUCGCUUCCGGAUGCCGGCCGUCGCCCGCCAGGAAACACCCCAUCUCA